rnacentral:rRNA from 1 species
ACGAAGGGGGCUAGCGUUGUUCGGAAUUACUGGGCGUAAAGCGCACGUAGGUUGACAUUUAAGUGAGGGGUGAAAUCCCGAGGCUCAACCUCGGAACUGCCUUUCAUACUGGGUGUCUCGAGUCCGGAAGAGGUUAGUAGAAUUCCCAGUGUAGAGGUGAAAUUCGUAGAUAUUGGGAAGAACACCAGUGGCGAAGGCGGCUAACUGGUCCGGUACUGACGCCGAGGUGCGAAAGCGUGGGGAGCAAACAGGAUUAGAUACCCUGGUAGUCCACGCCGUAAACUAUGAGAGCUAGCCGUUGGACAGCUUGCUGUUCAGUGGCGCAGCUAACGCAUUAAGCUCUCCGCCUGGGGAGUACGGUCGCAAGAUUA